GAUGGUAAAAAGCACAUUCUUAACCCUCUUUCUCCUUUUCAAGUGGGAGAGGAAUAUAGAAAAAUGGGAGAGUUGAAAGAAAAAAAGAGGAGAGUAAGGGAGUGAAAAAUGAUAAUUCAAAAGAAGGAAAAAGAGAGGUUGAGAGCUCAAGUGAGAAUGAAUUAUCACAAAAAAAAAAGAUAUGAGCAAGAAAAACAAAACAUCAAAGAAAAAGGAAAGAUGUGCAUGAUUUUGCAAAAUCAAG
rnacentral:lncRNA from 1 species